UACGUAGGGGGGCAAGCGUUGUCCGGAAUUAUUGGGGCGUAAAGAGCGUGUAGGCGGUCCGGUAAGUCAGCUGUGAAAGUCAAGGGCUCAACCCUUGAAUGCCGGUUGAUACUGUCGGGCUAGAGUCCGGAAGAGGCGAGUGGAAUUCCCGGUGUAGCGGUGAAAUGCGCAGAUAUCGGGAGGAACACCAAUGGCGAAGGCAGCUCGCUGGGACGGUACUGGACGCUGAGACGCGAAAGCGUGGGGAGCAAACAGGG
rnacentral:rRNA from 1 species